AUUGAACGCUGGCGACAUGCCUUACACAUGCAAGUCGAACGGCAGCACGGGUGCUUGCACCUGGUGGCGAGUGGCGAACGGGUGAGUAAUACAUCGGAACAUGUCCUGUAGUGGGGGAUAGCCCGGCGAAAGCCGGAUUAAUACCGCAUACGAUCUACGGAUGAAAGCGGGGGACCUUCGGGCCUCGCGCUAUAGGGUUGGCCGAUGGCUGAUUAGCUAGUUGGUGGGGUAAAGGCCUACCAAGGCUACGAUCAGUAGCUGGUCUGAGAGGACGACCAGCCACACUGGGACUGAGACACGGCCCAGACUCCUACGGGAGGCAGCAGUGGGGAAUUUUGGACAAUGGGCGAAAGCCUGAUCCAGCAAUGCCGCGUGUGUGAAGAAGGCCUUCGGGUUGUAAAGCACUUUUGUCCGGAAAGAAAUCCUUGGCCCUAAUACGGUCGGGGGAUGACGGUACCGGAAGAAUAAGCACCGGCUAACUACGUG
rnacentral:rRNA from 1 species